rnacentral:rRNA from 1 species
AACGAACGCUGGCGGCGUGGAUAAGACAUGCAAGUCGAACGAUCAUUACGGGGUAGCAAUAUUCCGUAGUGAGAGUGGCGCAAGGGUGCGUAACGCGUGGGCAAUUUGCCGUGAAGCCUGGAAUAACUCGCUGAAAGGCGAACUAAUACCGGAUGUGACGUUGGGAAGGCAUCUUUCAAACUUCAAAGCUGGGGACCGUAAGGCCUGGCACUUCACGAUGAGCCCGCGGCCUAUCAGCUAGUUGGUGAGGUAACGGCCCACCAAGGCUAAGACGGGUAGCUGGUCUGAGAGGACGACCAGCCACACUGGAACUGAGACACGGUCCAGACACCUACGGGUGGCAG